AGCUUUUCGUUUUGGAAACAAGUGAUUUUGAAAAUCACCAAAAGAUGUUCGAAUCCUCUCAAAGCUU
rnacentral:tRNA from 1 species